rnacentral:lncRNA from 1 species
CAUGGUGACUUGUAAGCAACUCACUGCACUUAGGCACUGAACUACCUGAAUUUCUAAUUCAAUGACGGAAGGCUGCUGGGUGUAGUCAAGUACUUGACUUGUCGGUGCGUGUCAAGAUGGGAUUGACCACUCCAGUUUAGGAGCUGUGUACAGUUGUGUUUCAAUUUAGCAAAAUCUUGGCCAGGGUAGUCCUUGUGAGGAGUCACAGGACUGUUUGAGUUGAGC